rnacentral:misc_RNA from 1 species
UGUCCCUGGUUACUGCUGACCUU